UGUGUGUGUGUGUGUGUGUGUGUGUGUGUGUGUGUAUAUAUAUAUAUAUAUAUACACAUAUACAUAUACAUAUAUACAUAUACAUAUAUAUACAUAUAUACACAUAUACACACACACACACACACACACA
rnacentral:miRNA from 1 species